UACGAACCUGAUGAGCGUUUCUGUGAGACGUUCUGCAUACUCGAAGAGGUUUUGUGUACCGUAGUAAUUAUAUGCAAUAUAAUUAGUAGUAUACAAUUGUAAGCUGAUCACUCACACAAUUUUGAAGAAACUCAGACAAGCCAUUAGGUUUACUUUUUAAAGCUGAUGACUAGAAGACUAGCUAUGACUAGAAGAAAAUUUAAAAAAUCCACAAGUAAUAGCUUCCGUAGUAACGUUACUUUCAAAAACAAUAUCAACAUCUUCGUUAGUAGCGCUGCAUAUUAUGUGCGUGUGACGCUUGAAAGUUAAUCUAAGCUGUGAAAUAUAUGAAUAUAUAAUUCAAAUGUAGAGAAGAAUCUGAAGCGUUCAAAUAUAGUAUAUAUUCCAUAUGUUGUUAUUUGUUAGCUUAAUCUUAUCCAUUCCAUGAUUGCAUCAUAAUCUAGGUUUUUAGAUAUACGAAUGUAAAUGUUAGUUAAUAAAAAAAUUUAUUGAAUAAA